GUGGGAUUGUGGCUCAGAGGUAGAGUGCUUGCCUAGCACAUGUGAGGCACUGGGUUCGAUCCUCAGCACCACA
rnacentral:tRNA from 1 species